AUUGAACGCUCGCGGCAUGCUUUACACAUGCAAGUCGAACGGUAACAGGCCGCAAGGUGCUGACGAGUGGCGAACGGGUGAGUAAUGCAUCGGAACGUGCCCAGUCGUGGGGGAUAACGCAGCGAAAGCUGCGCUAAUACCGCAUACGAUCUAUGGAUGAAAGCGGGGGACCGUAAGGCCUCGCGCGAUUGGAGCGGCCGAUGUCAGAUUAGGUAGUUGGUGGGGUAAAGGCUCACCAAGCCAACGAUCUGUAGCUGGUCUGAGAGGACGACAAGCCACACUGGGACUGAGACACGGCCCAGACUCCUACGGGAGGCAGCAGUGGGGAAUUUUGGACAAUGGGCGCAAGCCUGAUCCAGCAAUGCCGCGUGCAGGAAGAAGGCCUUCGGGUUGUAAACUGCUUUUGUACGGAACGAAACGGUCCUGGUUAAUACCCGGGGCUAAUGACGGUACCGUAAGAAUAAGCACCGGCUAACUACGUGCCAGCAGCCGCGGUAACAC
rnacentral:rRNA from 1 species